AGCCUGAUGCAGCCAUGCCGCGUGAAUGAUGAAGGCCUUAGGGUUGUAAAAUUCUUUCGCUAGGGAUGAUAAUGACAGUACCUAGUAAAGAAGCCCCGGCUAACUUCGUGCCAGCAGCCGCGGUAAUACGAAGGGGGCUAGCGUUGUUCGGAAUUACUGGGCGUAAAGCGCACGUAGGCGGACUUUUAAGUCAGAUGUGAAAUCCCGGGGCUCAACCUCGGAACUGCAUUUGAAACUGGAAGUCUAGAGACCAGGAGAGGUUAGCGGAAUACCGAGUGUAGAGGUGAAAUUCGUAGAUAUUCGGUGGAACACCAGUGGCGAAGGCGGCUAACUGGACUGGUACUGACGCUGAGGUGCGAAAGUGUGGGGAGCAAACAGGAUUAGAUACCCUGGUAGUCCACACCGUAAACGAUGAGAGCUAGUUGUUGGCAGGCAUGCCUGUCGGUGACGCAGCUAACGCAUUAAGCUCUCCGCCUGGGGAGUACGGUCGCAAGAUUAAAACUCAA
rnacentral:rRNA from 1 species